UACAGAGGGUGCAAGCGUUAUUCGGAAUUACUGGGCGUAAAGCGUGCGUAGACGGUUAUGUAAGUCGGGUGUGAAAGCCCCGGGCUCAACCUGGGAAGUGCAUUCGAGACUGUGUAGCUAGGGUACGGAAGAGGGAAGCGGAAUUUCAGGUGUAGCGGUGAAAUGCGUAGAUAUCUGAUGGAACACCAGUGGCGAAAGCGGCUUCCUGGUCCAGUACCGACGUUCAGGCACGAAAGCGUGGGGAGCAAACAGG
rnacentral:rRNA from 1 species